rnacentral:tRNA from 1 species
GCCCGGGUGGCGGAAUUGGCAGACGCAGGGGGCUUAAACCCCCCUUCCACGCAAGUGGAGUGCGGGUUCGAUCCCCGCCCCGGGCA